UUGCUGGUUAAGCGGUGUCUUGAUGCGUAGUCAUUUAUGUCUGCGCUUUAUGAUAGAAUACUUCCUGAACCCAGCUACAUAGAUUCAUUCUUCUGACUGAACAGCUCUUUAUCUUUUGUGGACUCUGUUCCUGUCUAAGAUUGAUACAUUU